GCAUAUCAAUAAGCGGGGGAAAAGAAACCAACAGGGAUUGCUCUAGUAACGGCGAGUGAAGCAGCAAUAGCUCAAAUUUGAAAUCUGGCGUCUUCGACGUCCGAGUUGUAAUUUGUAGAGGAUGCUUCUGAGUGGCCACCGACCUAAGUUCCUUGGAACAGGACGUCAUAGAGGGUGAGAAUCCCCGUAUGCGGUCGGAAAGGCGCUCUAUACGUAGCUCCUUCGACGAGUCGAGUUGUUUGGGAAUGCAGCUCUAAAUGGGAGGUAAAUUUCUUCUAAAGCUAAAUAUUGGCCAGAGACCGAUAGCGCACAAGUAGAGUGAUCGAAAGAUGAAAAGCACUUUGGAAAGAGAGUUAAAAAGCACGUGAAAUUGUUAAAAGGGAAGGGAUUGCAACCAGACUUGCUCGCGGUGUUCCGCCGGUCUUCUGACCGGUCUACUCGCCGCGUUGCAGGCCAGCAUCGUCUGGUGCCGCUGGAUAAGACUUGAGGAAUGUAGCUCCCUCGGGAGUGUUAUAGCCUCUUGUGAUGCAGCGAGCGCCGGGCGAGGUCCGCGCUUCGGCUAGGAUGCUGGCGUAAUGGUCGUAAUCCGCCCGUCUUGAAACACGGACCAAGGAGUCUAACAUCUAUGCGAGUGUUCGGGUGUCAAACCCCUACGCGUAAUGAAAGUGAACGGAGGUGAGAACCGCAAGGUGCAUCAUCGACCGAUCCUGAUGUCUUCGGAUGGAUUUGAGUAAGAGCAUAGCUGUUGGGGACCCGAAAGAUGGUGAACUAUGCCUGAAUAGGGUGAAGCCAGAGGAAACUCUGGUGGAGGCUCGCAGCGGUUCUGACGUGCAAAUCGAUCGUCAAAUUUGGGUAUAGGGGCGAAAAACUAAUCGAACCAUCUAGUAGCUGGUCCCUGCCGAGU
rnacentral:rRNA from 1 species